AGAGUUUGAUCAUGGCUCAGAAUGAACGCUGGUAGUAUGCUUUAGACAUGCAAGUCGAAUUGGGGUUAUACAAACAAAUUCAUUUUUGUUUGAUGCUUUGAUGGCGUACGGGUGAGUAAUAUAUAAGGACAUUCUUAUAAGAAAAGCAUACUGUUUGGAAACAAGCGUUAAUUCUUUAUACUUUUUUUAAGAAAAAUAAAAUAGAUUUCUGCUUAUAAGAAGACUUAUAGCUGAUUAGCUAGUUGGUAAGAUAGCGGCUUACCAAGGCGAUGAUCAGUAGCCUGGUCUGAGAGGAUGAACAGCCACACUGGCAAUUGAAAAACGGUUCAGACUCCUACGGGAGGCAGC
rnacentral:rRNA from 1 species